rnacentral:rRNA from 1 species
UCCGUAGGGGGCAAGCGUUGUCCGGAAUUAUUGGGCGUAAAGAGCUCGUAGGCGGUCUGUCGCGUCGGCUGUGAAAUCCCGAGGCUCAACCUCGGGUCUGCAGUCGAUACGGGCAAACUAGAGUAUUGCAGGGGAGACUGGAAUUCCUGGUGUAGCGGUGAAAUGCGCAGAUAUCAGGAGGAACACCGGUGGCGAAGGCGGGUCUCUGGGCAAUAACUGACGCUGAGGAGCGAAAGCGUGGGGAGCGAACAGG